UACGUAGGGCGCGAGCGUUAAUCGGAAUUACUGGGCGUAAAGCGUGCGCAGGCGGUUCGUUAUGUCCGAUGUGAAAGCCCCGAGCUUAACUUGGGAAUGGCAUUGGAAACUGGCGGGCUGGAGUGCGGCAGAGGGGGGUGGAAUUCCACGUGUAGCAGUGAAAUGCGUAGAGAUGUGGAGGAACACCGAUGGCGAAGGCAGCCCCCUGGGCCGACACUGACGCUCAGGCACGAAAGCGUGGGGAGCAAACAGG
rnacentral:rRNA from 1 species